GGGCCCAUAGCUUAGCCUGGAAAGGCUGGUAAGCAUCUCGCUUUGCCUUUGGCAAUUAGAGUGCUGGUCUUAUAAAUCAGUGGUCCCGAGUUCAAAACAAGGGUAUCGUUCCUUGAUCCCUAGACUCUUCCCUUCGGGCGAAGAAUCCUGCGGAUUCACAUCGAUAUCCCUGGUGAAAGUCUCGGUGGGCCCA
rnacentral:tRNA from 1 species